rnacentral:rRNA from 1 species
UACGUAGGGUGCGAGCGUUAAUCGGAAUUACUGGGCGUAAAGCGUGCGCAGGCGGUUCGUUAAGUUCGUUGUGAAAGCCCCGGGCUCAACCUGGGAACUGCAAUGGAAACUGGCGGGCUUGAGUGUGGCAGAGGGGGGUGGAAUUCCGCGUGUAGCAGUGAAAUGCGUAGAGAUGCGGAGGAACACCGAUGGCGAAGGCAGGUCUCUGGGCCACUACUGACGCUGAGAAGCGAAAGCAUGGGGAGCGAACAGG